AUCGAACGCUGGCGGCAGGCCUAACACAUGCAAGUCGAACGAACUCUUCGGAGUUAGUGGCGGACGGGGGAGUAACACGUGGGAACGUGCCUUUGGGUUCGGAAUAACUCAGGGGAACUUGUGCUAAUACCGAAGGUGCCCUUCGGGGGGAAGAUCUAUCGCCAUUAGAGCGGCCCGCGUCUGAUUAGCUAGUUGGUGAGGUAACGGCGCACCAAUGCGACGAUCAGUAGCUGGUCUGAGAGGAUGACCCGCCACACUGGCACUGAGCCACGGCCCAGACUACUACGGGAGGCAGGAGUGGCGAAUCUAGCGAAACGGGCGGAAGCAUGACGCAGCCAUGCCGGGUGAAUGCUGAAGGUCUUAGGAUUGUACAAUUCUUUAAUCGGGGACGAUAAUGACGGUACCCGCAGAAGAAGCCCCGGCUAACUUCGUG
rnacentral:rRNA from 1 species